rnacentral:rRNA from 1 species
CCUACGGGAGGCAGCAGUGGGGAAUAUUGCACAAUGGAGGAAACUCUGAUGCAGCAAUGCCGCGUGUGUGAAGAAGGCCUUAGGGUUGUAAAGCACUUUCAGUAGGGAGGAAAAGUUUAAGGUUAAUAACCUUAGGCCCUGACGUUACCUACAGAAGAAGCACCGGCUAACUCCGUGCCAGCAGCCGCGGUAAUACGGAGGGUGCAAGCGUUAAUCGGAAUUACUGGGCGUAAAGCGCGCGUAGGCGGUUAAACAAGUCAGAUGUGAAAGCCCCGGGCUCAACCUGGGAACUGCAUUUGAAACUGUUUAGCUAGAGUGUGGUAGAGGAGAGUGGAAUUUCAGGUGUAGCGGUGAAAUGCGUAGAUAUCUGAAGGAACACCAGUGGCGAAGGCGGCUCUCUGGACCAACACUGACGCUGAGGUGCGAAAGCGUGGGUAGCAAACGGGAUUAGAUACCCCGGUAGUC